rnacentral:rRNA from 1 species
AUGCAUGUGUUUAUAGAAAUGAGCGUGUGUAUGAGUCGUAUGCGACUGUACUGUGUUAAAACAAACUCAGUCCUGGCCUUUGGCGCCGCCGCUACCUGGCCGGAGGCCGUCGUCCAGUGCCUCCUCUUCGUCCUCGCCGCGGGUAUGCUCGUGGCCCUCCACUCCCUCCCUCGUCGAGUUGCCCAUCGUCUCCGCCGCGGCGCCAGCGGCUCCUCGGCCGCUCAAUCGCGCCGGCACUUCGCGCUGGGUGCCCAGCUCCUCGCCCGCGCGCGAGCAGCUGCUGCGAAGCCCCCGGGCCCGCUCGCCCGCGCGGCCCUCGCCGAGGCCGACCGCGCCAUCGCGCUCGACCCCCGCGACGCAGCGCCGCUGAUCCUCAAGGCCCUCGCCCUCGACCUCCAGGGUCACCGCCUCCCCGCGCUGCGCACCCUCGACGUCGCCUUGGCGCCGCCGCUCGCGCGAUCCCUGGAACCGCGGGAGCGCGGGGACGCGCUCGCCAAGCGCGCCGAGAUCGCGCUAGCGCUUAACCGCCGCCGCCGCCUCGACCAGGCCGCCGCGGAUCUCACCGAGGCCGUGCGCCUUAGCCCCGAGAACCCCCGCGCUCAUGCUCUGCUUGGCGAGUGCUACGAGAGGAAGGGCCUCACUGCCGAAGCCAGGAACUCCUUCAAGACCGCCGCGUCAAUCGACCCAUCUCUGGCUACUGCGCACGACGGCCUCCGUCGGACAGGCGCAGGCAGCGAAGUCAACGAGAGUGACUGA